GGACCCGCACAAGCAGCGGAGCAUGUGGUUUAAUUCGAAGCAACGCGAAGAACCUUACCAGGACUUGACAUCCUUCUGACAGAUCCUUAAUCGGAUCCUUCUUCGGACAGAAGAGACAGGUGGUGCAUGGUUGUCGUCAGCUCGUGUCGUGAGAUGUUGGGUUAAGUCCCGCAACGAGCGCAACCCUUGCCAUUAGUUGCCAUCAUUUAGUUGGGCACUCUAAUGGGACUGCCGGGGACAACUCGGAGGAAGGUGGGGAUGACGUCAAAUCAUCAUGCCCCUUAUGUUCUGGGCUACACACGUGCUACAAUGGCCGGCACAAUGAGACGGCAAAGUCGCGAGGCGGAGCAAAUCUAUAAAACCGGUCCCAGUUCGGACUGCAGGCUGAAACCCGCCUGCACGAAGCCGGAGUUGCUAGUAAUCGCAGAUCAGAAUGCUG
rnacentral:rRNA from 1 species